rnacentral:rRNA from 1 species
UACGAAGGGGGCUAGCGUUGCUCGGAAUCACUGGGCGUAAAGGGUGCGUAGGCGGGUCUUUAAGUCAGGGGUGAAAUCCUGGAGCUCAACUCCAGAACUGCCUUUGAUACUGAAGAUCUUGAGUUCGGGAGAGGUGAGUGGAACUGCGAGUGUAGAGGUGAAAUUCGUAGAUAUUCGCAAGAACACCAGUGGCGAAGGCGGCUCACUGGCCCGAUACUGACGCUGAGGCGCGAAAGCUCGGGGAGCGAACGGG